UAUACCUUAGUCAAUAGCUGUACGUUGCACAACAUACGAUGUGGCAGUUCCUUUCUAACUUGGGGAGCCACCCAGUCUUUUUAGGAUUUCCAGGAAGAGCUGUGGCAUCUGACCUUCAACUGUUAUUAAAAGAAAUCAAAGGUUGUAUAACAGUCUGCUGGAGCUUUGCAUUUCUUACUGGAGUUGUGUUUCUUCAAAUGCCUCUACAUUUCUGAGCUUCUCAGGUUCUUUAUUCCUUUACUUGUUUAUCCUCUGCAAACUCGAAGAUGAAAGGAUCUGCAUUCAAAGGACCUGCUUUUCUCUUGCCUUUCACCUUCUGAGCUUAUUUGUAUCUGCGCAAAGGGGUGAUGGGCAGAGGGAGAAGGCUGUCUGAGUAAUCCACCCAUCCUCACUACACAGAUACAUACUGUGAGGUGUGAACCCCACAACUGGUACUGCACCUCAGACGGAAAGAAAAUCUGACACCUGAUAGUUUGAGAAUCAUCCCACCUGAUGCCUACUUGAACAAAGAACCAGAUCCUGCACUAGGACUCUGCUGAUACUAGCUGGCUGCAGACCUGCUGGGAUCCUAGCAUUGAGAGAGACCUAACAAAACAUGCUGUUUCAACAACAUGGCUUGUGUCAUCAUGAGAUCUGCGAGAAAGGGUUAUCCAGAUUUUACGUUAGACAGCCAGGAAAACAAGGCUGUGAAACAACACUGUAACUGAGAGUAACUUCUGAAUGCAGAUUGUGAGAGAGGGCACGACUCUUCAGUCUUCAUUCAAUCUCUUAUCACUGAGAUAGGGAACAUCUUUGUCAAAGAAAAGUCUGGUGAAGUCUGGAAGGAAAAUGCAUGUUCUAAAUGGUUUCAGCUACAUGCAUGUGACCUUCUUAAAUGAUAUGUUUGCAUCGCCAUCAACCCACAAGUAGUAACAGUAUUUUCAGUGUUAUACCUGCUCUACCAGUACUUUCUUGCAUCAGAUUAAAGGUAGUGUCUCCAGGCUGGUUGUUUUCUGGAUGUGCCUUCGCACUACCAGGAACGUGACUCAUCAGAGCAGUGUUCUCAGAAGUAUAUUUUACAUGUUUGCUUGUGAGAGUGGGAUGGAAUCGCAGAAAGUACAGGAUGUGUUCUUCUGGCUAAAACCACCCAGAUUUUAUUCUUCUAAAAUAAUAAAUACAAAGCAGUCAUAUCAACUUAGUACAUGCCUCUAUGAUUCUCCCAUGAAAGGUGUCACAGGGCUGAAAGUAGUAUUUAUUUCUUGCCACCAAAUAUAAGACUCAGUGGUAUUUCCUGCCUAUGGUCUAAGGACCUCCACCCCCAAAAAAGCAUAUGGUAAAGUAAGUCUCACCUUAGCUCAUGCCUCAGAACAGAUACAGCAUCUUAGAGGCAUGGCCAAAACUCAGCAGAUGCUGCAAGCAUAUGAUUCCUACAUGAGCGUUUAUAUGGUACAGCUGUCUUUAAACGUUUUUGUAAUUGGAAAGACUCCAGCAUCUGGUCCUUUGCUUACUACUCUUAGAUCAAAUAGUCGUGGUCUGAAGUCUACUUUUAAACAAUGCAGAAAAAAAAUGAAACCAAAACCUUAAGGCUCUAAUUCAUAUGGUCUGCUUCAAAGUACUGGUAAAAAUAUAAGUAACCAGUGUAAUAAAACAAAAGAAGUGGCAAACAAUUGCAGUAAGGAAUGAUACGAGUUACACAGGCAUACAAACACCUUCAUCAUUUUAAAAGUAGGUAUGUAAGCAACAAGUGGUAUGUACUCAGUUACACAAAUUACUCUUCCCUUUACAUAUUAUUGUGUAAUUCAAC